UACUACUGGUAAUAAAUAAAAAAACAUGGAAUCCGUGGUGGUCCAAAUCAGAAAUCCAGUGGCCUAAUUGCCAUAUGGCAUGCAUGCCUAUCUUUUCGUCCAAAUGUCUGCAACCGCCGUCGUACCUGUUUCAACUACCAUAUCCGCCGCUGAAACUUCUGCUUCCGCCUCCCACAUACUCAAAUCUCAAUCACAAUCAUCAGCUCAUUGUUUCACUUAAUGGAAGAAGAAGAAAGUCAAUUAGCGCAUCCUCUUCCUCCUUCAUCAGCGCAUACCGAUUCAACUGCAGCAUCUCUAGAUCCUUCCGGAGGAUCUCUUAUCCUUCUCCCAUCAGGAUUAGACCGCUCUCUCCUGUCAUGGAAUGGCAAGAUUGCACGAUCAAAAUGAAAGUAGAUAUGCCCAUUUCAGUUGCUUAUAAGUGUUAUUCUGAUAGUGAGGCCAUUCCUGAAUGGAUGCCUUUUAUUUCAACUGUAAAGGGAACUUGAUGUUAGACUCUCUUGCCUGAUUUUGGAGGAUAAACCUAACUUAUCAAGAUGGUCAUUGAAGUAUAAAGCUUUCGGGCAGAACAUUGAAUAUUCAGGGCUUGCUCGAAAUAUGCAGCCUACGCCAAACCAGAAGAUCCACUGGAGAUAUCAGGAGGGACUUCCCCACAGGUAGUGUGCAUCCUAGUUUCGUUUUGGUUGAUUCUAAACAGAACAUAUAACUGUGGAAGUCAUAAAGAGUUUUUCUUCCAUCAGACCAAUAGGCCAUAGAUGAUAAAAUCAUGUUGCUUUGGUGCUAUUGGCAGAAUAUUUCUGGUCUAGUAUCUCAGUGAGGCAGUUGGCAACAACAAAAUAGCUUGAAAUAUAAUGUUUUCUGAUGAAUUCCAUGAACAAAAGAUCAUUUAUUCUCAGUAUAUUGAAACAAGUCAUCAGUUUUAUGAUGCAUUCCUUAUUCAAAUUGCAGGGGAGCUGUGCGAUUUUUCCUCAAAGGCCCAUCAUCCUGCAUCAGUGAAGUAAGAAUUUUACUUGAAACAUAACUUUGUCCUUUUCCUUUUGACUUCAACUUAUCUUUAUUAAACAUUAAUGUUUACAACAAAUACUUUGGGAUAAUCUUGGAAGAUCCAUAUGCAGGAAGGGGUAAAAACUGUUUUGCUCCUUUUCUUCUCCUAGUUUCUUAUAGGCAACCACAUAAUUGAGAAUGUGUUGACGGAAAUUGCUAUAUCGUUUUGGUCUUUGACUACUCAAAGUUGACUAAUGCGAAGUCCUUUUUUCCAGCUAACAUUAGUUGGUUCCAGUGGCAUCAGUAAGCACUCUUAACUCCGAUAUUAGAAACUGUAAUUCACAUUAGUUUUUAGAAGUAUGCAAUCAUCUCAACCUUGCUUGGGUUUAUCAUCUCAAAUAAUGAGAUUGCAGAUUUAUUAUGAUAGCAGAGAGUAUGAUUUUCAAUUUUCACUUUAUAAUACAUCUCCACUUUUUCAUCUAUUGUCCAGGCAUUGAAACCAUUUCUUGAAAACCUGUUGGCAGAAGGGUUGGAACGCUCUGCAACAUUUGCUAAGAGCUACUCAGCUGACACACCUAAAUGAUGUAUAAACUAAACCCAUGCCAGUAAAUCAGUAAUGGCUCACUCUUCCUCACUUUUAAUGUUAGGGGAAGAAGCGGAAAAAAUUGUACAAUUAUGGGGGACGGACUUUUAAAGGUGCAAAAGAUCAACUGUAACUUCUUAGAUAUUGUACAGAAUAUAAAACCAUUAAGAAAUUAACUGUAUUUGAAGAGCCAAAGCAGUAGUAAGGCCAUUUGAAGCUCACUCAUGUUGGGAGAGAACUCCAAGAGUCGCUAUAACAUCCAUUGGUCCUAUGACGUGCAAUGAUCAUCUCGCUGCAAUCUAUGGCUAGGAGAUAGCGGUUAAACUCACUUCACUAGCACCAUAAAUAAGGAGUAGACUUGUUGCAAACACGGACAUACGCUAACAGCCAUAAUGAACUAAAAGUCAGUGUAGCCAUAGUGAACUAUUUUUCUAUGGUAAGAACCUCUGUUUUUGGUCAAGAAAUCUGCUUCAGUAUCUCUUCAGCCUCAAAGAUUAAGUCUCUCAAACAGGCCAUGACCGUUUUAAGAGUGGUGUGUUUCCUCUUAAGCCUCUCUGCAUCAUUGAGAAAGCUUUGCUUUGCAUGAAUAACAGUUCAUUCUUUAUUUUUUCAAACUGUUGUCUGUGUUGACUUAGAAAUCUGCUUUCCUCAUUGAGAACAUUUAGAAGUUUCUCCAAGAAUACAGUUACCACUGCAUCCACCAUUUCUUCUGCUUCAAAUUUCUGAAAUGCGGCCCAAUGAAAUUGGCUCGCCUGAUAAAACCAAAGAAACAAAUUAUUGUUACGGGGCAAGAGUGCGGAGGGACUCAAGGAUAUACAGUUGAUUUCGCAUUGCCAUUUUCAUAAACAGCAAACAGCUUCUCUACCCCACAAAUGUGGUGAUAACAUCCGGCUACAUACUAACCUCCCCAGACACCACUUAAGGGUGCAGUGCUUCACUCUUAAUCUAGCACUUCCAACUCCUGGGUAUGAAGAAAAUUCUAUUGAAGGGUCACCUUCAAAUGAACAUGCAGUGCGUGAUUCGAAUUUAAUUGGAGCUCUUGACGCAUCCGAGAGGGAAGAAGUCAGUAUACUAAUAACACCUUCAAGACACCCCCAACAAUAAGGAAGAUAAUUAUUGAUUUAAGAGUUACUCAAGAUCAUCUGGGUAAAAGAUUAAACUCUCAUGUAAUUCGAUAGUUUUAAAUUAAAAAUUUGUCUUCUUCUAGCUAGUUUAGAUAUAUAGAAAAUCAUUAAACACAAUUUUGUAAUCUACUGAAUAUUUGUCUUUAAUCUAAUAAGAUAAAUAAUUAUUUAAAAAAAAAGAAAAGAUACCUUUAGUUAUGUCGAGGAUAGAUAUUAUCACUACUAAUUAACUACAUUAAUACACGAUACCAAUACAGUCAUUUUCAGAAGCAGUAAACACAAAUAAGUCUUUAAGAUAAUUAUGUUAGGUUCGGAAUAUGCAAAUCAUCAUCAUUAGGAGUAACAUAAUAAUAAGGAAACAUUACUUUAGGAUUGUACUAUGAUAUACCUCAUUUAUUCGAAAAUGCUAUAUUAAGAAAAUAUUUACAAUUGUGAUGUGCCGGUUAUUAUGUAUGAUGUGCCGGUAAAGGUGGAGACCAUAUUUUUGGUAGAUUUUGUGAUUCUAAACUGUGAGGUGGACUUUGAAGUUCAAUCAUAUUGAGCCAGCCAUUCUUAGCCACUGGAAAAGCUUUUAUAUAAAGAAUGGUGAACUAAAGUUCCAGUUAAAUAAUGAAGAAGUAAUCUUUAAUAUAUGUUGGUCAACGAAGUAGCUAAGCGAUAUGGAUCUGAUAUCCGUUAUUGGUGUGAUUGACGAAACUUAGUUUGAAAUUUCUAUUAAGGGGCAAUUUUCGGUAGAAACUUUGACUAUAAUUAUUAUGAACUUUAUGUAGGAAAUAUAGAAGGAGAAUACUAUCUUUAGAGAAUGUUAAAGUUUUAUAUAGGCUAC